GGGGGGAUACCAAAGCGGUCAAAUGGGGCAGACUGUAAAUCUGUUGGCAGCGCCUUCGGAGGUUCGAAUCCUCCUCCCCCCA
rnacentral:tRNA from 1 species